rnacentral:lncRNA from 1 species
AAAUCCAAAAUGGCACCUCAAUCUUUAGCUUCCAAGAACUCCCUUCCUUCUUCACCAAGUCACUAAAGCACCAAAAAGCUCAAAUCAACACUCUCACACAGUAAGGACGAUGGGGAUCUCUUUUAGGGUUUCACUCACUGAUAUGGAGGCUGAGAAAUGAGCCAUAACACCCUUUAAAUAGUGCACAAUAUGGAUUAGGGUUUUUGCACCUGGUCCGGGUACGCCCGGCGUAACUCUAGGUACGCCCAGCGUACAUUGGCGACUCCGCAUCCAAAUUAAGUGCGUGUGUACGCGCAGUGUACCCCUCUGGUACGCCCAACGUACUCACUUGCUACAAACCCUCCACUUAAGGACUAAACAUGCCCGAUCAACAAAGAACAAGGAUGAAACAAAUGUACCUGAAUCUCGGGGUGUUACAUUCACCCCUUUUUAGUUACAUAUUUAUCACAAAAACACAUAAAUAUACACAUUCAUGCAUAAAAAUCAAACAUAGCACACAUAUACAUAUAGAUCUACACAUUUUCUUGUAUUCUCCCUCAUAAAACACAUAAAAACCGAAAAUAGAGGGGUAUGAAGCUCACCUUGAGUUGUGGUUUCGGUUUUGAAGAGAGAAAUGAAGAAGUUUGGUGCAAAUCUUGGCCUAGUAAGCUUUCCUUGGAGGAUCUCGAACUUAGGUGUUUCUAAGAUGGUGAUUAUGAGUUUGAAUAGAUUAGGAAGAGAUUUUUGACAAAACAAAGAAUCUAGAUCAUAGAUCUAAACAUAAACUUACCUUGAAUGAUGAUUGUUUUUGUGGAAGAAUCUCCUUAUCAAGCUCUAAAUCUCGAAAUUUUUAAGAAGAAUGGAGAUAGUUUCUUUGAGAGAGAGUUUGUGUGAAAUGUGUGUGUGUUUCUGUUGUUUUGGCUGAGAGAAAAAGAGAGAGGAGAAGUGAGAGUGGAUGAGGUGAUGGUUGUAUGGAAGCAUGGGAUUUUUGCAUGGAAACCCAACAAAUAAUAGUGAGGUGGCCAUGAGAAGUCAACUCUCCUCUUUUGGUGUUGUUGGGCCGAUGAAAGGAGAGAGGAAGGAAAAAUAAUUGGGCCUUGUAUGCUUAAGUCCAUUUUAUGGUUAAGUUAGAUGAUUUUUGGCCCAAUAAAAAUCAAAGAAUGAGUUUUAUGACCUAUUAGGGCUAAUUUAAAUUUGUUGUGACCCAAUAAGGCCCAUUAAAGAUAACCUAGUUCAUUUUAGGCUUAUAAGGGCCCAAAAUAUUAAGUUUCAUGUAUAUGGGUCCAAUUAGGGCCCAUUUGAGAGUUCUAGGUUCAAGAUAGUUAAAUUGGAAACUUAUUGGUCCAUUAGGUCCAAUAAGGAAAUCCUAGCCUAAAAUGGACUUAAAACGGGAUUUCAAGGGUUUUCCAAUUCUUUGUUGACUAUUUGUAGUGCUUGAAUGAAGUAUUCUAUUCACUUAGAGUACAAGUUAUUACACUAGGUGUAUGAUUGCAUGAGAGUAGAAUUUCCUAGCAAAAAAUGCUUGUUGUGACGUCAUCCCCCUGUUAGAGGGAAUUUCGUCCCUAAAUUCUUUCGAAAGGUAGGUUCAUGAAUGAUAGAAUAGGUGAGGGUACUUCUGCUUCAUCUGGUCUUUGCGUUCAUAUGUGAAUUCCAAUCCACACUUGGCAGUCCAUCGAACCUUCAUAAUCGGAAUGCGGCAUUGUUUUGUACGCUUUUCUUCUUUAUCGAAUACAUCGAUUGGUUUUCGACGAACAGGAGAUUCUCGUUUAUUUCGACCUCUUUCUAAAGGAUUGAUAAGGGUUUUGCCUGAUAGGCAAUUUUUCGGAUACGGUACACUGAACACAGGGUGUACGUUGCUGAGCUCUACAGGCAGCUGUAGUCCGUAAGCCUUUGGACCAAUCCGAGCAAAAAUCUCACACAGUCUGAUGCAUCGUGGGUUUAGUUUUCUUGUUUCCUAAGGCGAAUCAUUCCUUUCUAAGGAAAAACUUUCAUUAGUACCCGGCCUUCGACUUGGAAUUCCAGAUGUUUUCGUCAUUUGUCAACAUAACUCUGGAAAUACGUCCGGGAACUCACGUACUAUCGGAACCUCCUCAACUGACCUCGGUCUCUCUGAAUCAACCCGCAUAUCCAUCACAUACGCCCAAAGCCCUUACAGCCCUGCUGUAGACACUGCCUCACUCUAGCGGCCGAACAAAAUGCUGACCCAGAACGUGUACCCUCACCGUACACCGUAAGAACUCCCCCACUAGGAUCUCAUAUGGUCACCAGCUGUCGCUCGCAGUCGAUAACCGCUCCGAAUCUGCUCAACCAGUCCAUGCCCACAAUGACACAGACAUCACCCAUCGCAAUAGGAACCAAAUCAGUCUGGAACUAAACACCGAAAAUCUCGAACACGCACCCUCGGAUCACCUCUGUGGCAUAUAUCACCCUCUCGUCAGCUAUGGAAACCCUCAGAGAUCGACUCAACGCCUCACGACUAACACUGAUAUGUUGACUAAAAGCCAAAGAUACAAAAGACCGACUCGCACCCGAGUCAAAUAACACCAAGGCAGGUACAGAAUUCACAAGAAAAGUACCUACGCAUAACAUAAUAUAAGCACAAAAUCUCAACAUCAAAAUAAAUACAUGAAAGAAAACAUACCAGCAACGACAUCGGGCGUUGCGCGGACCUCCUCCGCGGUCAACUGAAAGGCUCUCCCUCGUGCCCUUGGUGCCUCGACUUCACUGGCCGACUCUCGGUAGCUCUGAUGGCGGCAGGGGAAGAUCCCUGAGGUGCUCCCUAUGCUAAUCCCCGCAACUGCAGACACUCUGCCUUCCGGUGUCCGGUCUGGUUGCAGUGAAAACAUACUGCAAACCCCUUGGGGCAGUCCUUGGCCAUAUGCCCCUCCUUGCCACAUUUGUAGCAAGACCCGGCUCUGCACACCCCGUCGUGGCUCUUGCUGCACUUGCCACAAGUGCGGCCCCUCUGGCUCCCUGAUCUCGAAUCGGCGGGCUUGGCCCGCUUGGCUACCGGCUGAGACUGCACCGGUCGCCGAUCCCUCCCCUGAGACUCAGCCUCCUCCCUAGCCUGAGUCUCGAGCUCUAUAUCCCUCUUACGGGCAUUUGCCUGAAGCUCGUCAAAUGUCCGGUACAUCGAGUUCGCCACGAACUCACGUAUAUCCAUCCUCAGAAUGCUCAAAUAUUGACUCAUACAUGCCUGCUCGGAGGACACGUGCUUUGGGCAGAACAUCGCCCGCUCAUGAAACAUCCUCGUAAUCACCGUAACCCACUCAGUACCCUGCUUUAGGGUCAGAAACUCCUGUGCCAAACGCUCCCUCUCCACCUGGGGAACGUACUCAUCUCGGAACAUGGCAAUGAACCUCUCCUAGGUCACUGCCGCAAGCUCAGCAGGCGUAUAGUGCGCCGUCACAAACUUCCACCAGUCCUUCGCUCCCAAGCGAAGCUGGUUCAGCGCGAACUGGACUCUCAAAUGCUCCGGAGAUGAGCAAGUAAAGAAACACCCCUCUAUGUCUGAAAUCCAUCUCAUCGCCGCAAUCGGGUCCUGGGUCCCGUCAAACUACGGUGGUUUUGUGUUGCUGAACUCUCGGAACAACAACGCAUCACCACCCUGUGGCCUCGUCACAGCUAUAGCUGCAGUGGCCGCAGCAACAGCAGCCUCAGAAAGAGAAGCGUACUCGUCAUCAAAUGUCUCUAUCAACUUGGUCUUGAUAGACCCGAACAUCUCUGUUAUCUCCGCCCUGAUGGCCGCAGCCACCUCCUCCUGGAUGAUCCUACGGAUCUCCUCAUCCCUCGUAUCGCUGGUCCCUGGUGUGUGGCGAGUCCCAACCAUGCUCUCUCUCUCUCUCUCUGAAAUACAACAUUAGAAUAAUAUCAGGUACUCGCUCGAGUAUACUCACACUCGAAUACUCCAUCCUACUUGUCCCUUGGUACUCCCAAAGAUUCUUACUCGGGCUGUGCACUGAUCCGGUGUCUUCAGUAGUACGGGCCCAAUACUACCGUCCACACCGCAUCAGCAUCCACCCCGAGUCCUCCUCCCAGAGUCCCAAGUCCCAAGCACUCUACUUUCUCUAAUCAUAUAAUACUCGCAAGUAGAUCUCUCGCAAUCUCCUUGCUGCUACCUAAACACUUUGAAGUAUUCAUAGCAGCAAGACUCCAAGACUCAGGCAUCACAUAUCAGGCCACUCUAGUCCUAAUAAGAAUACCUAGUCUACUCUAGCAUGCAUACCAAAGCUCAUCAUAUAACAUAUCACAUCAUAUCUCAUAACACUUAUAAUAAUGGUAUUUUGGGAGAUCACCGUUCGGGCGUUGGCUGUUCGUACAAACGACUCUGCUCUGUUUGUCUCGCAAGUUCUUCUUUUGAAAAUUUGUUUUAUUAUCAAAAUUUUCUCAAAUUCUCGGUUUAAGUUCAGAUACGCCCGAAGGUGCACCCGAAUCCCUCAAAGCUAGGCUCUGAUACCAACGUGUAACACCAUAAAAAUUAAACAAUUUUUCGCAUUUGUAAACACGUUUUUAACAAAACCAUUCAUUCAUAAAAUGUCAUAGCAUCAUGUUUUUAUUUCACAAAUAACUCCCAAAAUCAAAAUACAUCAAAUCCCAUGUGUGUGUGUGUACGAAUCAAGCCGGCGCCUUCCCGCGGUCAUCACUGGUACCUGAAACACAUAACACUGAACACUGUAAGCAUAAGCUUAGUGAGUUCCCCAAAAUACCACACUAACACAUAAUAGCCACUCGAGGCUGUAACUCUGUUGACCCUCUGGUCAAUAUGUCUCAGUGGGGCCCUCCAGCCCCAACUCUCUGUGGGCCCUCUGGCCCUAACUCUAGGGACCCGAAAGUCCCAACUCUGCAACUCUGAAUCAUGCAUAUCACCAUAAAUCACAACACACAAAUAACAUGCAACCACACUGGCAUAUAACUCUAUAGUACUAUGUCACAUAACUAUAUUACCACACUAGGUAAAAUAUAGUGAGAAGACUCACCUCGGUAUCUCGGUAAAUCUUUGACUCGGUAAACGCUGGCCUAGCCUCCGCCUAAUCAUAUGAAAUAAACACUCUAUUUAAUAUAACUCUCAAAGGCUAGACUAUGCUUCUCUUAUGACACUCUCAGAAGGGUAAAAGACCAUUUUACCCCUCUCAUAACUCAAAGGCCCCACAAUAGACCAUACCCUAAAAGUCAACCAAAAGUCAACUCUCCGGGUUACGCUGCGCGUACCAGAUGUCUACUCUGAGCGUACCCGGCUGAAUCUCAGAAUCGGGGAACGCCACCCAGUACGCGGCGCGUACUGGGGAUUACGCCCGGCGUACUCCCCUGCUUCAUCCCUUUAACUCUUGAGGUCUUAAACAGUUAAGAACUACGUCCAUAUUUUAGAUCUGACCCCAUCUAAGCCCCUUAAUCCAUAAAGUUGAUGACUUUAAGCCUUUGCAUGGCUGAACAAGUCACCACUCCCACAAUGAUCCAACCUUCAACUCUAGAAGGCUUAAUACACAUGCAUGACUUCAAACUAACAUCCAAGAUGGAAACUUUAUGGCUCUAAAUCACCAAUAACAAUGAAAAGGGACAGAUCUCGGACCGUGGAGCACUUUACACUCAUAAAGUCUCCACAUUUGGGGUUUUUAUCCCUAAAAAGGGCACAUACAACAACAACCAAAAGAAGAGGAAAGUUUUGAACUUUAUACCUCCAAGUGUAGCCUUUUUCUCUGUAGAUCUCAGAUCCAAAAUGGCACCACAAUCUUUAGCUUCCAAGAACUCCCUUCCUUCUUCUUCACCAAGUCACUAAAGCACCAAAAAGCUCAUAUCAACACUCUCACACAGUAAGGACGAUGGGGAUCUCUUUUAGGGUUUCACUCACUGAUAUGGAGGCUGAGAAAUGAGCCAUAACACCCUUUAAAUAGUGCACAAUAUGGAUUAGGGUUUUUGCACCUGGUCCGGGUACGCCCGGCGUAACUCUAGGUACGCCCAGCGUACCUUGGCGACUCCACAUCCAAAUUAAGUGCGUGUGUAUGUGCAGUGUACCCCUCUGGUACGCCCAACGUACUCACUUGCUACAAACCCUCCACUUAAGGACUAAACAUGCCCGAUCAACAAAGAACAAGGAUGAAACAAAUGUACCUGAAUCUCGGGGUGUUACAUUCACCCCUUUUUAGUUACAUAUUUAUCACAAAAACACAUAAAUAUACACAUUCAUGCAUAAAAAUCAAACAUAGCACACAUAUACAUAUAGAUCUACACAUUUUCUUGUAUUCUCCCUCAUAAAACACAUAAAAACCGAAAAUAGAGGGGUA